rnacentral:rRNA from 1 species
UAGGGAAUCUUCGGCAAUGGACGAAAGUCUGACCGAGCAACGCCGCGUGAGUGAAGAAGGUUUUCGGAUCGUAAAACUCUGUUGUUAGAGAAGAACAAGGACGUUAGUAACUGAACGUCCCCUGACGGUAUCUAACCAGAAAGCCACGGCUAACUACGUGCCAGCAGCCGCGGUAAUACGUAGGUGGCCAGCGUUGUCCGGAUUUAUUGGGCGUAAAGCGAGCGCAGGCGGUUUCUUAAGUCUGAUGUGAAAGCCCCCGGCUCAACCGGGGAGGGUCAUUGGAAACUGGGAGACUUGAGUGCAGAAGAGGAGAGUGGAAUUCCAUGAGUAGCGCUGAAAUGCGUAGAUAUAUGGAGGAACACCAGUGGCGGAGGCGGCUCUCUGGUCUGUCACUGACGCUGAGGCUCGAAAGCGUGGGGAGCGAACAGG